AAAACAAUCACAAUUCAUUCUCAUCACCCAACCAUUCGCGGCAGAUUGCAAGUAAAGAUAAAGUGCAAAAGUGGAAACCUUCCUUGAGUCAAGACAAGCAUAUUUUUUGUUGGUCCGAAAAUGGUAAAAACUUAAAUGCAUUCCUCUCUCUUCUUUUCCUUGUCCAUUUCGGUUUUCUUACUCUGCAACACUCUCCUCCAGCUCUUUCUUCUUCCUCACACAGAAAACACACACCCAAGAAACCCCAUUUCAAAGUUCAACUCCAUUCAAGACAAUAAACCCACACUACUACUACUUCAACUCAACCCAAUCUUCCUUUUUUUUUAAGCUUUUGUGCAAAAACGAAAAUAACAUUAUACCAUUCACCUCAAUCAAUGUCCAGCCCCAAUAACAUCAUCAAACUCUUGUUCCAAACUAUUUUCAAACAUCAAAACCGAAAUAUAGAAGAAAAGAGCCAAACCCACAACACCCAUACAACACCUUAAGCUCUCUUUAACCCAAAACUCACAUAGAACCCCAUUUUCAUCAACCAACCAACCAAAAUGCAAAGAAAAACGUGAGGAACAGCAGUAAAGGAGAGGAAAAACGAAAAUCUAAAGUCACUCAGACCCAACAAUCCCCAUGGAAAUGCAAAGAAAAGCUUAAAAGCUCAAGCUUCAAACAUCAAAAACAAGCAAAUGGAAGAAGGAAUGGAUGGAUUUUCACCACAAAUGAGUUAAGACAACUAAGAAUGAGUCAAGGGAAGAAGAAAAUCUUCAUCAUCUUCAUUAAAAAUGGUCCAAAACCGUGGCACCAAGCAAGCACCCAUGGGAGCAUGUUCAAACAAGAGAAACCCUAGGAGAAUGAAACUAAAAACGUAGGAUAUGGGUUUCUAAGUGUGUGGCUCGAUAUUCACACCCUAUAUGACCAAGAAUUACAAUUUGGUAGGUCCACACACUACAAGUCAGCCCUAAAGAGAUGCCACAUGGCCCCCACAUUUGGUUUUUACAAAAAUGCCCCUAAAGGGGUCCAAAACACCUAAUUCUAAUUAAGGGCUUCUAGAAAACGAAAUUACAACUUAAUUAAAAAGGAAAUGACUAAAUGUUGAGUCUUGAAUGAUCACGCCACCUUCCCUAAUGCUCCAAAUGAUGUUUCCCAAAAUUUCCCUACAACCAA
rnacentral:lncRNA from 1 species